rnacentral:rRNA from 1 species
CGCCAGACUCCUACGGGAGGCAGCAGUGGGGAAUAUUGCACAAUGGGGGAAACCCUGAUGCAGCGACGCCGCGUGAGCGAUGAAGUAUUUCGGUAUGUAAAGCUCUAUCAGCAGGGAAGAAAAUGACGGUACCUGACUAAGAAGCCCCGGCUAACUACGUGCCAGCAGCCGCGGUAAUACGUAGGGGGCAAGCGUUAUCCGGAUUUACUGGGUGUAAAGGGAGCGUAGACGGCAUGGCAAGUCAGAUGUGAAAGCCCGGGGCUCAACCCCGGGACUGCAUUUGAAACUGUCAGGCUGGAGUGCAGGAGAGGUAAGUGGAAUUCCUAGUGUAGCGGUGAAAUGCGUAGAUAUUAGGAGGAACACCAGUGGCGAAGGCGGCUUACUGGACUGUAACUGACGUUGAGGCUCGAAAGCGUGGGGAGCAAACAGGAUUAGAUACCCCCGUA